rnacentral:rRNA from 1 species
AGCAGCCGCGGUAAUUCCAGCUCCAAUAGCGUAUAUUAAAGUUGUUGCAGUUAAAAAGCUCGUAGUUGAAUUUCGGGAUCAAAGGAUCGGUCAUGCCUUGGUAUGUACUGGUUUUAUUGGUUCUCACCUUCUAAAGAACCAUAAUGUCAUUCAUUUGAUGUUAUGGGGAAUUAGGACUGUUACCUUGAAAAAAUUAGAGUGUUUAAAGCAGGCUUACGCUUGAAUACAUUAGCAUGGAAUAAUGAAAUAGGACAUCAGAUUCUAUUUUGUUGGUUUCUAGGAUCGAUGUAAUGAUUAAUAGGGAUAGUUGGGGGCAUUAGUAUUCAAUUGUCAGAGGUGAAAUUCUUGGAUUUAUUGAAGACUAACUACUGCGAAAGCAUUUGCCAAGGAUGUUUUCAUUAAUCAAGAACGAAAGUUAGGGGAUCGAAGACGAUCAGAUACCGUCGUAGUCUUAACCAUAAACUAUGCCGACUAGGGAUCGGAUGAUGUUAAUUUUAUAAUGACUCAUUUCGGCACCUUU